rnacentral:ncRNA from 1 species
UGAUGGCCCUAGCGGGUGUUGACACAAUGUGAUUUCUGCCCAGUGCUCUGAAUGUCAAAGUGAAGAAAUUCAAGUAAGCGCGGGUCAACGGCGGGAGUAACUAUGUCUCUCUUAACCCAAACAGUGGUUACCAAUGCACGAUAUGUGAAUCGUCUUUCCGUAGCAAAAGCGGACUAGGUGUUCACAUGUCACGUCGGCACAAGGACGAGUU